rnacentral:rRNA from 1 species
UACGUAGGGUGCGAGCGUUAAUCGGAAUUACUGGGCGUAAAGCGUGCGCAGGCGGUUUUGUAAGUCAGAUGUGAAAUCCCCGGGCUCAACCUGGGAACUGCGUUUGAAACUGCAAGGCUAGAGUAUGGGAGAGGGAGGUAGAAUUCCACGUGUAGCAGUGAAAUGCGUAGAGAUGUGGAGGAAUACCAAUGGCGAAGGCAGCCUCCUGGCCUAAUACUGACGCUCAUGGCACGAAAAGCGUGGGGAGCAAACAGG